CAAGUACUCCAUCCGUCCGGAAUUACUUGUCAUCAAAAUGGAUGUGUCUAGAACUAAAAUACAUCUAGAUACAUCCAUUUCAAUGACAAGUAUUUUCGGACGGAGGGAGUACAAG
rfam:Triticum urartu cultivar G1812 contig205330, whole genome shotgun sequence.